GACGAACGCUGGCGGCGUGCUUAACACAUGCAAGUCGAACGGAAAGGCCCUGCUUUUGUGGGGUGCUCGAGUGGCGAACGGGUGAGUAACACGUGAGUAACCUGCCCUUGACUUUGGGAUAACUUCAGGAAACUGGGGCUAAUACCGGAUAGGAGCUCCUGCUGCAUGGUGGGGGUUGGAAAGUUUCGGCGGUUGGGGAUGGACUCGCGGCUUAUCAGCUUGUUGGUGGGGUAGUGGCUUACCAAGGCUUUGACGGGUAGCCGGCCUGAGAGGGUGACCGGCCACAUUGGGACGGAGAUACGGCCCAGACUCCUACGGGAGGCAGCAGUGGGGAAUAUUGCAAAAGGGGCGGAGGCCUGAGGCAGCAACGCCGCGUGCGGGAUGACGGCCUUCGGGUUGUAAACCGCUUUCGCCUGUGACGAAGCGUGGGUGACGGUAAUGGGUAAAGAAGCACCGGCUAACUACGU
rnacentral:rRNA from 1 species